CAGUCGCCACGGUAAUACGGAGGGUGCAAGCGUUAAUCGGAAUUACUGGGCGUAAAGCGCACGCAGGCGGUCUGUCAAGUCAGAUGUGAAAUCCCCGGGCUCAACCUGGGAACUGCAUUCGAAACUGGCAGGCUAGAGUCUUGUAGAGGGGGGUAGAAUUCCAGGUGUAGCGGUGAAAUGCGUAGAGAUCUGGAGGAAUACCGGUGGCGAAGGCGGCCCCCUGGACAAAGACUGACGCUCAGGUGCGAAAGCGUGGGGAGCAAACAGGAUUAGAUACCCCAGUAGUCCCUGUCUCUUAUAC
rnacentral:rRNA from 1 species